UAUUGGCCACUUUGUACAAAAGCAGGCUCCGAAUUCGCCCUUAGAGUUUGAUCAUGGCUCAGAUUGAACGCUGGCGGCAGGCCUAACACAUGCAAGUCGAGCGGCAGCGGGGAGUAGCUUGCUACUUUGCCGGCGAGCGGCGGACGGGUGAGUAACGCGUGGGAAUCUACCCAUUUGUGGGGGAUAACUUGGGGAAACCCAAGCUAAUACCGCAUAAUCCCUACGGGGGAAAGCAGGGGAUCUUCGGACCUUGCGCAGAUGGAUGAGCCCGCGUCGGAUUAGCUAGUUGGUAGGGUAAAGGCCUACCAAGGCGACGAUCCGUAACUGGUCUGAGAGGAUGACCAGUCACAUCGGGACUGAGACACGGCCCGAACUCCUACGGGAGGCAGCAGUGGGGAAUCUUGGACAAUGGGGGCAACCCUGAUCCAGCCAUGCCGCGUGUGUGAAGAAGGCCCUAGGGUUGUAAAGCACUUUCAGUAGGGAGGAAGGCUUCGGGUUAAUACCCUGGAGUACUUGACGUUACCUACAGAAGAAGCACCGGCUAAUUUCGUGCCAGCAGCCGCGGUAAUACGAAAGGUGCGAGCGUUAAUCGGAAUUACUGGGCGUAAAGCGCGCGUAGGCGGUUAGUUAAGUCGGAUGUGAAAGCCCAGGGCUCAACCUUGGAACUGCAUCCGAUACUGGCUAGCUAGAGUGCAGUAGAGGGAGGUGGAAUUUCCGGUGUAGCGGUGAAAUGCGUAGAGAUCGGAAGGAACACCAGUGGCGAAGGCGGCCUCCUGGACUGACACUGACGCUGAGGUGCGAAAGCGUGGGGAGCAAACAGGAUUAGAUACCCUGGUAGUCCACGCCGUAAACGAUGUCUACUAGCCGUCGGCGAUCUUGUAUUGUUGGUGGCGCAGCUAACGCGAUAAGUAGACCGCCUGGGGAGUACGGCCGCAAGGUUAAAACUCAAAUGAAUUGACGGGGGCCCGCACAGCGGUGGAGCAUGUGGUUUAAUUC
rnacentral:rRNA from 1 species